rnacentral:rRNA from 1 species
UACGGAGGGUACGAACGUUAAUCGGAAUUACUGGGCGUAAAGCGCGCGUAGGCGGUCUGAUAAGUGGGAUGUGAAAGCCCCGGGCUUAACCUGGGAACUGCAUUCCAAACUGUCAGACUAGAGUAUGGUAGAGGCUGGUAGAAUUUCCUGUGUAGCGGUGAAAUGCGUAGAUAUAGGAAGGAAUACCGAUGGCGAAGGCA